GCAGAAAUCGCACGCUUCUUCUUCUGUAUUUUCUUCUUUCUUCUCCUUCUUGCUGUUCUUCAUUUCUUCCUUCUAAAACCAUGAGAGACCCGAGAGAGAGAGAGAAGCAGAAAUGGAGAGAGACCAAUUUCUGCCACUCGGAAAUCAGAAGACCCGAGAGUGGCCGAGACCCACCGAGACUCGACAAACCCCAGCAAACAUAUUUCCAACAACCCCAGCCGGACCCGACACUGCCCAUUCCAGCAACCAUAGCCGGUUCUCUACCGUGACCAAGAACCCAUGCAACCCAGACCAAACCAGAAGCUCAUGAACCCAGAAUCCGUGGACUCCAACCCAGCCGAACCCAAAUUUCCAGCCGACCCAGUGAACCCAGAACCGAGACCCAUCCAACCACCCAUAAACCAGAACCAGCCCGUGACCACCGAGAACCCAGCCGGCUAGUGAACCCAGCAACCCGUAGCAGCAAUUCCGGCCGAACCCAACCAAUCCAAACGGCAAACCCAUAUAUAUACUCCUUCGUUCCUCCUAAACCAGCAGCAACCCGAGACUGUGAAAUGAACCCAAUCCGGCAACCCGUUCAGCAGAACCCAGACCCCAUCAUCCCAGCAACCCCGUGUGACCAGCAACCCACGGCAACCCAACCGCAAGCCUAACCGUGACCCACCAGAAUCCGGUGAACCCAGUUCUGCCGUGAACCCAGCAGCUCGACAAGCACGAACCCAGCCGACCAUUGAUCGGCAAAUCACGCAGAACCCAGAACCACCGUGACCAGCCGAUCCUCCAGUGUGACCCACCGUAUCCCGUGAACACAGUAGACCAGAACCCGUGGGCGUCGAUGGCCGUGAACCUGAUCGAUCCGGAACAACCCACCGAACCUCGACGAACCAGCAUACUAUGCAAACCGUAGCCGAUCCUCAAGCAACCCGACGAACCCCGUAAGCUCGAAACCAAUCCGGCGAUGGAGGAAGACUUCGACAGAACCGGCGUGCUCUAAACCGUAUCUUCCGGACCAUGAGCCGAUUUUCAGCAACUGGAGAUCGUUCUCCAUUAAACUCUGCCUUGCCGUCAUCCAACCCAGCAAGACCCAUGAACACAGUGUGUGUGUGUGUAUGUGACUCAGCUGGAGCAAUAAAAUCACAAGCCAACCUGACCAGCCUAUAUGGAUUCAAUCCAGCAACCCAUGAGCCUUGGCCCAACAACAUGUGACUCAGAAACCCAUUAGCAAUCUAACCCAACCAAGCCCAAAGACCACAACAGCCCAUAACCGAACCCCGCAGCCCAACUGAUCAACUCAAUAACCCAUUUAACCCAGAACCCGGUCAGAUCGUAACCCAUAACCGUGACCCAUAACAGCCCAUAACCCGAGCCCAACCCUUGAACCCAGCCCAUACCCGAGAACCCAUUUAACCCGUGAUCCAUAGCCCGAGUUCAUGACCCACUGAACUGACCCGAAUCCAAACCCAUGACCCGAACCCGACCCGCCGGUGACCCAUCUCCGGCAGACUUCCGGCGAACUUUCUGGCGACUUUCCGGCAGACUUCCGGCGACUUUCCGGUGACUUUUCCGGCGAUUUCCCGUGACCGAACUCAUCGUUUUCACGGAAUUUUCUAGUGAAAAUUCUUAGUUAAUAAACUAAGAAAAUAUACAAAGAGGAUUAAGCUCGAUCCCGAUAUUAUGGGAAAUCCAAGUUAUGAACAGAGAGACGUAGGUGGCCGGGAUGGGAUCUAGGAAUGCAUUAGGACAUUUCAUUUAUAUUACCCCAUAAUUUUCAGUUAUUGUAUUUUUACAAUUAAACGACCGUUUCCGCAUUUAUUAAAAACUCUGAUAUUUUGAAAUCAUUAUUAUUUUUAUUUAUUUAAAUCAGCAUACUAGUUAAGAUAUUUGGCAGACCUUACGAAUCUUUGCAGUUUAAAGAGAAAAGUGACGAACCUAACCCAUAGCGGUUUGGGGGCGUUACAUGUACGGUAAUACCCGGUAUUAUCACAUGCUUAAUUAUUAAUUCGUUAAUGUGAAAUUAAAGCACGUGUCAGGAUUAAUAGUUUUAAUCCUUGCUUUUAUAAGUAAUAUAUAUAUAUAUAUGUUGGUGUAAAAUUGGCUUCAUUCUGUUGGACAAAAUCACUUUUAUGUAAUGAUGCUUUUAUACGGGGAAGCUGCUUUAUCUAGAGUCUACACUUCUAUUAUGUUCUUCAAAAAGUCUGUGGGGAUUUCAAGGCAAUUAAAUUUGGUUCCCUUGCAACCGUCCGGAAGCAACUGUCCAAGCAUCAUCCGUUCGGACGACGAGAACUUUCAGUCCGGACCUUCCUUUGUGUCGAGAAGCUUCGAACUGUUCCAGCUUGCAUCCGUCCGAACGUUUCAGCAGCAUGUCUGGACGCCACUCAGUGUUCGAUUAGCUAUGGGAUUUCUUCCCAAAACAAAGAUAUGGGAAGACAACUGCAACCGUCCGGACGAUGUGGACUCCCAUUCGGACGCGCUCAUCCAUAAGGCAAGUCAUGCAUUCAAAAUCCAGACGUUCGGACGUUUGUCUUCAUGGUCCGAACGCGCGAGCUUCAUAUAUAGAAAUUGCGUGCAUCAGAUCAAUCAUUCGGAAGAUAGAUGCUAUGGUCGGGAGACGCUAAGCCUUGAUAUGAAAAUUGUAUGCAGCUAAAGUGCGACCGUCUGAGCACUAGGGUAGCACCGUCCGGAUACGGCUCAAAUCAGGAAAGAAUUUCAGCUAAUUUUGGAAAGCUGAUCGCAUAGUUGUUCGUCUGGAAGUCUUAUGACUAUUGUCCGGAUGACGCCUAGGUAUUUCAAGUCAGACACUCAUUUGAAUCUACAACCUAUAAAUAGAGGCCUCUAGGCUUGAGAAUUGUAAGAAUUCGGUAUUGAAUUCCGUAGUGCUUAGAGAGUUAUAUUUUAGACUUAUUGUGCUAAGUUACUCUUUCUCAAGCUGUUGCCAUUGUGUGCUAUUGUUGCGCUAAACUGAAGUCUAUCUUAGGGGUUGGCCCUAAUGUAAAGGAUUCCAUUGAAGACCCCUUCAAGUAGGAGACUUGGUUGGGAGGCGUUCGUGUUGGGUUACACGUCAGAGUUCAAGGUAUGACCACUACAUAAGGUUAUAUGAGUGCUACUGCUUUGUAACUAGUCUUGUCUUUUGAAUAGUGGAUAUCCUGAGUUUGGCUGCCUUGGAGUACUUUUUCUCUCAAUUGAGUUACCACUUCGUCAACAAAAUAUCUGUCUCCUUUAAUUCCGUAUUUUGAUAUUUUGUUGGACACUUUUGGCACACACUUGUGAAAGUUAGAAGUCAUCCUUAAUUUUCAGUUGGCAUCAGAGCUUGGUACACUCUGUUUAAGAUUCAAUUCUUGAGUGUUAUCCUUCCUUUUGACUUCUAGUUUUAUUUCAAAUGUCUUUAAAUCUUAAUAAUGUUCCUGCCUUUGAUGGCACGAGCUAUGGCUAUUGGAAAGCUCGUAUGCGAUUCUUUUUAAACUCCAUUGACUAUUGGAAAAUUGUUUAAACUGGUUGGACUAAGCUAGCAGAUGCAACUCCCAAAACAGUCACUGAGAAAACCGCAUUACUUACCAAUGAUAAAGCCCUCCAUGCUCUAUCUCAAGCACUCUCACAGUCUGAAUUCGCAAGAAUCUCAAACUAUGACUCUGCUAAAGAAGCAUAGCAAAUCUUGGAAACAACAUAUAAAGGCACCAAACUUGUUAAAUCUGCCAAACUUCAAAUGUUGAUUUCCAGAUUUGAAGAAAUUAAGAUGUUGGAGGAGGAGACAUUUGGAGAGUUUUACUCCAAAAUGAGCAACCUAAGAAACUCAAUGGUGAGUCUUGGGAAACUUGUCUCGGAUGCAAAACUCAUCUGUAAAAUUCUAAGAUCUUUCCCUGAGCAUUUCAGGAUCAAGGUGACAACCAUUGAAGAAAGCAAAGACUUGGAAGAAAUGAAGAUUGAAGAGUUGGUAGGAUCUCUUCAAACAUAUGAGCUGUCCUUGCCCUCGGUCAAAAAGGUGAAGACCAUUGCCCUAAAAGCUUCCUAAAAGAAGGUCGAAGUCUCAUCUAAAGACGACUCUGAGGAUGAAGAAAAAGUUGUGGCCAUGCUGGCCAAAAAUUUAGGAAGAUUAAUGAGGAAUGAGCGAUUCAAGGAGAAAUUUUCCGAAAGAAUAAAGAAGACCCACAGAGAAUCUGAACCUGAGGAAGCUGAGAAGAAAGAUCCCAGAGGCCAAAGAUGUUUUGAAUUCUCAGGGUUUGGGAAUAUACGGGCUAACUGUGGGAACCUCAAGCAGGGUGAUAGGUGCUGAAUGUUACACAUUCAAGCCCCUUAAUUUACAUAUGUUAAGCUCUUAGUUUUGUUAUAGUUUGAUGUUUUGUGUUGUUUUCUUGUAUUUUACAGGUUUUAGAAGAAAGUCCAUCAAAUUACAAGAUUAUAACAAAGUCGGCAAACUCACUUUUGGAAAAAUUCAACUCCAAAUCAAUUUUGAAUUGAAGGAAAGAGAAGUCGGCAAAAAAUCGUUAUUUUUGGAAAGAAUCCAGAAUGAGCACAUCUUAGUAAUUUAAUCAUAACUUUUGGUUCAACCAUUGAAUUGAGAUGAAAUUGGUGGAUUUGGAAAGAUAAUAAAAGAUUCUACAAAUAUGUCAGAAAUAGGUUUUUUCUAAUUCGGACGUUUAACAUGCCAAAUUUCAGAAAUUUCAGAAAUUUGGAAUCAUUUUCCUGCUUGGAUGGAAAUGUCAGAAAAUGAAAAGACUUGUACUUAUUCUAUUUGGACUAGAAGACCUAUUUAUAAUUUUUUUAGGAUUUCCAGAGCUUCUUUAAUCCCUAUAAAUAGGCCUUUAACCUUUGAAGAAAAAUACACACAAGCUUUGAGGAAGAAUCAAAGGCUACAUCAAGAAAGAGGUUCUUUCUAAUUUUUAUUUUCUUUCUUCCUUUAUUUAUUUCCUGUACGUAUAUAAUUUUAGAUUAUAUUAGUUGUAACUAAUACUUUAGUUAGGGCUCGAUUGAAGCUUUAAUUAUGUCUCGUUAGGGUUUUCAAUUGGUGCCUUUGCUACAAUUCAUAUAUUGAUGCUUAACUUGAUUAUUUUCCAUUUUCUUGAAUUCCACUCAUGUUUAUGCUUGAUCAUCAUAUGCAUGCAUGGACGAUGUUCACAAUGCCAAUGUUACUAUCAUAACUUGAUACUUAAUACUUACCAGCCAUAAGGGAAUGGUAUCUUCUCCUAAAGCUAUUGAUUUCCCUUAGCAACGAGUUAGGCAUGGUAUCCACUUUAACUCUUUUCUUCUUUGAAGGAUUUAGCAUGGUAUGUAUUAAGUUUCUUAGUAUUUUGGCCUCAUUCUGCGUUUUGGACAAAAUCACUUGUAUGUGAAAAGAUGCUGUAAACAGGGUAUUCACUAUUCAGAGCUCUCUUAGAAGACUUUGCACAGCGAAGAUUUCGGUUCCCUGUCAGCCGUUCGGACGAUCGAGCCAUCCCGUUCGGACGCUCAUCUAACCACUGUUCCAUCCGUCUGAACGACGUGCCAUACCGUCCAGAUGCCAGUUAGACCAAGCAUCAUCCGUCUGGACGACGUGCACUUCCGUUUGGACCCUCCACUGUGUCGAAAAGGUUCUAUCUAGCUUGCAUCCGUCCAAACAUUUCAGCAGCAAGUCCGGACGCCUCUUGGUUCUCGACCAGUCUCAGAUACUUUCCAAGUUCCGAUAAAGGAAAGAUCGUCCAACCAUCCGGACGAUGUGGUAUCCCAUCCGGACGCGAGUCUUCGUAAGGUAAGAAUCGCAAUUCAAAUAUCCCCAUCCGGACGUCUGUUAGCCUUGGUUCGGACGCGCGUACAACUAAUAUGGAAAUUGCCGAUUCAACUUCAACUGUCCGGAUGACUACCUCUCAUGGUCCGGACGCGCGCAUAGCAGAUAUGGAAAUUGCGUGUUGAAGUUCAGCCGUCCGGACACUCAUCCCCCAUGGUCCGGACUCGCGAAGCCUUAUAAGGAAAUUACUUGUAGCGGACGUGCGACCGUCCGGACGAUGUGCCAUCCCGUCUGAACAUGCUCUUAAACAGGAAAGAUUUCUCAGCAAAAUUUUCAGAAAAUCCUGUCGCACAGUUGUCCGUCCGGACGGCCCAUGUCCACCGUCCAGACGGCGCCCAGCUAUAUUUUGCCUGACGCUCAUUUGAGCCCCCAGCCUAUAAAUAGAGGUCCCUGGGCAUUGAGAACUACAAGAAUUCGGUAUUGAAUUCCACAUUUGCUCAGAGACGUGAUAUUUCCUUUGAAGCUAUUUCAAGUGUGCUGUUGCUGCGCUACAUCUGAAGUCUAACUUAGGGGUUGGCCCUAAGGUAAAGGAUUCCAUUGAAGACCCCUUCAGGUAUGAGACCAGGUUGGGAAGCGCUCGUGUUGGGUUACACGUUAGAGAGCAAGGUACGACCACUGCAUUGGGUAUAUGUGAGUGUUACUAUCUUGUAUCUAGCUAUGUCUUCUGAAUAGUGGAAUUCUUGGGUUUGGCUGCCCCAGAGUGGUUUUUCUCUUGAUUGAGUUUCCACUUCGUCAACAAAAAUAUCUGUGUCAUUUACCUUCCGUUGUGUUUAUUUUUGUUGACACUUUGCGCACACACUUGUCGUUUUAUUUAGAAGUCAAAUUUCAAUUUUCAAUUGGUAUCAGAGCUUGGUACACUCUGUGCAGAUUUAAUUCUUGAGUGUUAUUUCUUUUUGACUUCUAUAUUAUAUCUCAAACUCUUAAUUCUGUUCCUGCCUUUGAUGAUACGAACCAUGGCUAUUGGAAGGCACGUAUGCAUUUCUUUUUGAAAUCUGUUGACUGUUGGGGUAUUGUUGAAACUGGUUGGACUAAACCAGAGGAUGCAACACCUGAACUAGCCCCUUAAAAGAACGCACGCCUUUCCAAUGAUAAAGCCCUCUAUGCUCUGUGCCAAGCACUUUCACCUUCUGAAUUCGCAAAGAUUUCAAACUGCGAAUCAGCCAAAGAAGCAUGGAAAAUCUUGGAAACAACAUAUGAAGGCACGAAACUUGUUAAAUCUGCCAAACUUCAAAUGUUGAUUUCGAGAUUUGAAGAAAUUAAGAUGUUGGAAGAAUAGACUUUUGGAGAGUUUUACUCCAAGAUGAGUGACCUGAGGAACUCCAUGGUGAGUCUUGGGAAACCUAUCUCGGAUGUAAAACUCAUCCGAAAAAUUCUAAGAUCUUUGCCUGAGCGUUUCAGGAUCAAGGUGACCACCAUUGAGGAAAGCAAGGAUCUUGAGGAAAUGAAGAUUGAAGAGCUGGUAGGAUCUCUUCAAACAUAUGAGCUGUCUCUACCCCCGGUCAAGAAGUUGAAUACCAUUGCCCUAAAGGCUUCCAAGAAGAAGGUAGAAGCUCCAUCUGAAGAUGACUCUGAGGAUGAAGAAAAAGCUGUGGCUAUGUUAGCUAAGAAUUUCAGAAGACUAAUGAAAGAUGAUCGGUUUAAGAAGAAUUUUUUUGAAAGAGUAAAGAAACCUCCCAGAGAAGCUGAACCUGAGGAAGAAGAGAUGAAAGACCCCAGAGGACCCUCGAUGUUUUGAAUGCUCAGGCUUUGGGCAUAUCCAGGCUGAUUGUGGGAAUCUUAAGAAGGGCAAGGGAAAGGCAUACAACAUGACUCUCAGUGAUGAGUCAGAAGAAGACGUUCCAGAGUCUGAAAAAUUUCUGGCCUUUGUAGCCCCAUAUGUUGAAGAAGAAGACUCGUAUUACUCGGAGCAUAGUGAUAAUGAGGAAGAGCUCAAGGAAGCCUACAAGACACUCUACCUAGAGUAUGAGAAGCUGAGGGAAGGCCGUAAGCAGCACUUCUCUGAUCUGAAUAGCCUGCAAAUUGAUAAGAGUUCAUUGUUGCUUAGAAUACAAGAGCUUGAAUAAAAAUUACUAGAGACACAACUCCAGCUAGAGAGAGUCACUGAUGAGAAGUUGACUCGUAUGUUGUCCAUCCAGAAGAGCCCAACUGACAACUGGUCUCGGGUAUGUAGCUUCAUCUUUUGAUGCUCUUUCUUCUCCAAAGAUUGUGUUUGUGAAGCCUACAGUCUCAGAGCCUCCUCCCACUGUUGAAGAUAAAGGGAAGGACAAGGUUAACGAUGAUGUUCCAGGCGCUCAGGAGCCACAUUCCAUCAGAAGACCUCCUAUAUGCCACCAUUGCAGUUUAAGUGGGCAUGUUCGUCCUCAGUGCUCCCUCCUAAAAGCACAAAAGGCCAAAGCAAAGAAAGAUGUUCCUAGACAAGCUCAUCAUGGCACUAGACCUAAGGCCCAAAAUCAGACUCUAUGGCAUCAGGCACCUUAUCAAGCACCAUUGUGACAAGCACCAAGGUAUCAAGCUCGAUAAUAUCAAUCACCUAGGUCUCAUGCUCCUUAGGCCCAGGCAUCUCAGCAUCAAUGGCCUCAGCAACGGUUUGCACCGGCCAAGCACCUUAGAAGGCCACAGAAGUUGGAAGCCAAUCAACACCACAAUGAGCCACCUAUCUGGAUGCAGAAUAUGAUGGAGUGGAUGAUGACGUCUUAACAUCAACCACCCACAAGAAGGCAGGCUUGGAUCAAGAAGGACCGUCACCCCAUGAGGGGGAACAAACGCAACUAGCAGGUUCGGGUGUUCAUGCCUAGGUUUGAUUGCUUAUUUUGCUGUUAUUUUUGCAAUCUAGGAACUAGUGGUACUUUGCUUUUGCCCCCUAUUUUGUUUGGAGAGCUUUGCAGGUGUUUAUUGGGGAAGACAAAAAAAGCAGGUCGAGCAACUAUUUUUCUGUAUUGGCAUCAUUAGGUUUGAUCUUGCCUUGCAUAUGAUGUUUUUUUCCAUAUUGCAUUUUUUUAUAAUAAUAAUAAAAAAAAAAUUGUGGGGAGAAUUUGCAGGAUAAUUUUUUUUUCCUUGGCCUAUCAGAUAAUUGCAUGUAUUUUCUCCUGAUAUCUCAAUUCUUUGGGUAUUAAUUUACUUUGCUUAGAUAUAAUUGAGAGUUUUUGACUAUAAUUUGCCAAGUGUUUUCUUGUAUAUGCAAAGGUAGGAUAACUUCUUUUCUCAUGCGAUGAAAAAUGUGCACUAUCCACGACUCCCCUAAAGGUACAUUUUUCCUUCUUUGACUUUGUGUUUCUAGAAAUUCCAGAUAAAAGAAGAAGUUUUUUUUUUAAAAGAUGACCAAAUUGACCACAUGCUAGUUGAACCUAGCACCUAUAAACUCUGGAAUUCCCUUUAGUUUGCAGCACCAUAAGAAACAAGCAGUUAAUCAUAUGAUUUCUGUGUUUUUGAGUAUAUAUUCACUGCUUAUGUGCUACAUUUGCUGUAUGCCUUGCCCUCUACGUGCAAGUAAAACAUUACAUUGUCCUUCAUGGUACAAGUAAAACAAUUAGGUGUUGCAUCUCAGGGGGAGUGUAUCAGAUGAGGGUGGCUAGGCCCUAGUAAGUUAUAAGGUUUGACUUUUGGCUUAUCUUCCAGUUAUUUUACCUCUUGUCUAGAAAAUCUGGUUACUCUUUGUCAUGUCAUCGAAAGUCUUACCUUGAUGGUUUCUGUCUUCACUCACACACGCAUUGCAUGAGUUGAGUUGGCUAGUUGAAUUUUGCAUAUGUAGGAACUUAUUUGUGCUGAUUAAUUUCUCAACUCUUUCUUAUAUCUCUGCUUAGUAUUGAGAUGCUCUUUGAUUGUGUCAUCAGUGGUUUAUACAUCCGUGUUCUGAAACUGACUUGAAAAAUUUGAUUUCUAUGAAUUUUCCUCAGUUUUCUGUUGUUUCAGUGUGGAGCGUCCGGACGGUCUCUAUUGGCGUCCGGAUGGAUAAGUGGUCCGGACGGUACUCAAUUGGAGUUCGGAUGGGAAUGGAGCCCAAUCUUCCAGACGAGACCUGAUUGCGUCCAGACACUCGCGGCAACCACCGGGCGGACGGUUAAUAAAACCGUCCGGACGUGUGCGACCUGUUUGCUUGUUCCCAAUGCAGCGCAUGUCCGGACGAAGUUAUUGCACAGUUCGGACGGAGGCCCCACAGAGGCUAUAUAUACCCCAGAAUCGCCAUUCACUCUUAUACCCCACAUAAUCUACUCUUUGGCAUUUUGUGAGUGAUUGUUUUUGGUGUUUUUGGAGUAAUUUCUUCCCUAAUUGUCUUUUGUGCAUUCUCACUUCAUUCCAGGGAUUCCACUUGUCAGAGAAUUUUCAGAUGACUCUGCAUUGCGAAAAAGAUAGAAGAUUUCAGACCCCCUGUCAGCCGUCCGGACGACAUGUCAUCCCGUCCGGACGUCCAUCUGUCCACUGUUCCAUCCAUUUGGACAAUGUGUUCAUCCCGACCUGACGCCAGACAGACCAGUAUCACCCGUCCGGACGACGUAUCUUUCCGUCCGGACCCUUUACUGUAUUGAGAAGCUUUUGUUCCAUCUUGCAUCCGUCCGGACGUCUCAGCAGCCCGUCCGGACGUCCAUCAGUGAUCGACCAGCUUCAGAUUCUUUCCAAGUUCAGAAUAUGGGAAGAUUGAUACACCAUCUGGACGAUGUAGUUUCCUGUCCGGACGCGCUCAUAAAUAAGGCAAGAAUCGCAAUUCAAAUAUCACCGCCCGGACGUCAGUCAGCCUUGGUCUGGACGCGCGUGCAACUAAUAUGGAAAUUGCCGAUUCGACUUCAACCAUUCAGACGCCUGCCCUUCAUGGUUCGGACGCGCGCAUAACUGAUAUGGAAAUUGUGUGUUGAAGUUCAGCCGUCCGGAUGCUCAUCCCCAAUGGUCCGGACGUGCGAAGCCUUAUAUGAAAAUUACUUGCAGCGGACGUGCGACCGUCCGGACGUCAGUAUCUCACCGUCCGGACGUGAAUCUUAAACAUGAAAGAUUUUCAACGAAAUUUUCAGAAAAUCCUGUCGUACAGUUGUCCUUCCAGACGGCUCAGGUUCACCGUCCGUACGGCGUUCGUACAUAUUACAGCAGUCACCCAUUCUGCACCUCAACCUAUAAAUAGAGGCCCCUGGGCAUUGAGAACUUCAAGAAUUCGGUAUUGAAUUCCACAAGAGCUCAGAGAAGUUCAAGAUCCCUCUGAAGUCGUCACAAGUGUGCUGCGCUACAUCUGAAGUCUAUCUUAGGGGUUGGCUCUAAAGUAAAGGAUUCAAUUGAAGACCCUUUCAGGUAGGAGACCUGGUUGGGAAGCGUUCGUGUUGGGUUACACGUCAGAGAGCAAGGUACGACCAUUGCAUCGGGUUAAUGUGAGUGUUACUAUCUUAUAUCUAGCUUCGUCUUCUGAAUAGUGGAAUUCCUGGGUUUGGUUGCCCUAGAGUGGUUUUUUCUCUUGAUUGAGUUUCUACUUCGUCAACAAAAAUCUGUGUCUUUAUUUUCCCUUGUGCUUAAUUUUUAUUGACACUUGUGCACACACUUUACUUUUAGAAGUCAAUUUUGAUUUUCAAGUUUAUUUAUUUUAAACUGUUAGAGAUUUAUUUUUGGAAUGAAGUUGAAAUUAUGUGAUGCAUAUCUACUAUAUUGGGAGUAUUUUUAAUGAUGUUUUUAGGACUCAAUUGUGAUAAAUUCUGUUUUUAUUUUAGCAAAAGUCAUUUUUACUGCUGUUAUUCUGCCCAAUAUUUUUCAUGACCUAAGAAGACUAUCAUUUUGGAUUUUUCCUGCAAAUCUUGUUGGUUUCUUGUGUAGAAUCAUGUCUGCAGGCUGUCCACCACGCAGGGUCCGUUAGAGGACUGUGGAAGAUAGGGCUGCAAUCCAGGCCAAGACUAUGGAUCGCACCGUCAUUGCUGAGCGGAACGUCAUCCGGUCCGAUAUCAUGGUGCCACCUCUGGAUAGCAUCCAUGCCAUUAUCCAGACAUACAACUGGGUAUAUCUCCACAGCUGUGCUUGUUUGGUGUACACCAGACUGGUAAAGCUCUACUACGCUAACCUGGAAGUGGUGCAGAACGAUGAUCGUGGAUUGGUGCUUUAGUCCACCGUUACAGGCCAUAUCAUCAUUGUUGAUCCUCAGGUCAUCAGUCACAUCAUCCGAGUCCCAGUGCUCGAGAUUUCUGCCAGCCCAUACAAUGAUGUGGUGCUUCCUCCUUCCCUGGAUGAUCUCAGGGAAUUCUUUCAUGCCAUUCCCCAAGGCGAGGAGCGCUCUACCUCCAUCAGGAUUGGUGCCCUGUCUCCCUCCCACCGCAUGCUGGCCAAGAUCAUUCAGCAGAACAUCUGGCCAAUUGCUCGACGCAGUGAUCUUAUCCUGAAACGGACCCAGUUUGUCUAUGCAGUUCACCUUCGCUUGCCUUUUUGCCUGUGCAAGCAUAUUCUAGGUGUUAUGUUGGAGGCCCGUGAUGAGGGAAAUGUCGGUCUCCCAUUUGGCUACCUACUCACUCAGAUUAUCCUCCAGUUGGGAGUCGAUGUCACUGGCGAACCGAAGAUGAAGAUCCAGCAGCCCAUCAGCAAGCAGACUUUGAUGAAGUCCAAUGCGCAGCUGCGGAGAGAUGACUCUGAUUAUGAGAUGCCCAUAGCUACUACCAUGCCUGUUGGUUUUCCGGAGAUGGCUUCAUCUUCCCAGACCGUCCCGCCAUCUUAGCCGGAGGUCAACUAUUCCCAGAUCAUGGAGGCCCUUGCUGCCAUUCAGGGGGGGAUGAGCAGCAUGCAGGUGACUAUGUCCUCCAUGCAGUAGGAGAUACACUCCAUCAACCUGCGUGUAGAGCAAAACCAGCUGGACCUUCAGGAGUGCCUGAAGUUUCAUCAUCCUAGUAGCAGUGAUGAUGAGGAUGAUGCAGAUAGAACUAUACCUCUGCCUGAGGAUGUUUGAUUCCCUCUUGUUUUGUUUUGUUAUCUUUUUGUUUAAAACUUUUGGCUUAUGUAAAACUUUUUUACUUAUAUUACUCUGUUUCCCAGGUCCUUCUGAGACCGUUAGAGGGAGUAAAUUUUAUUAUAAUUGAUGUGAAUUUUAAUUGUA